AUUGAACGCUGGCGGCAUGCCUUACACAUGCAAGUCGAACGGUAACGGGCCUUCGGGUGCCGACGAGUGGCGCACGGGUGCGUAAUACAUCGGAACGUGCCCGAUCGUGGGGGAUAACGAGGCGAAAGCUUUGCUAAUACCGCAUACGAUCUACGGAUGAAAGCAGGGGACCGCAAGGCCUUGCGCGGACGGAGCGGCCGAUGGCGGAUUAGGUAGUUGGUGGGAUAAAAGCUUACCAAGCCGACGAUCUGUAGCUGGUCUGAGAGGAUGAUCAGCCACACUGGGACUGAGACACGGCCCAGACUCCUACGGGAGGCAGCAGUGGGGAAUUUUGGACAAUGGGCGCAAGCCUGAUCCAGCCAUGCCGCGUGCAGGAUGAAGGCCUUCGGGUUGUAAACUGCUUUUGUACGGAACGAAAAGCCUUCUUUUAAUACAGGAGGGUCAUGACGGUACCGUAAGAAUAAGCACCGGCUAACUACGUG
rnacentral:rRNA from 1 species